AUAAUUAAAACCAGAAUCCUCCUAGAAGGGCUAAGCAGCUGGGGAAUUUUUACAUUCUAUUGCACAUUCUAGAACAAGUACUGCAACUAACAAGCUUAAGACUCAGGAAUCAGGUAGAAUUCCUAACCUUGUAUAACACUGUAACCCUGUCUUCACUUGACCCUUCCAUCUUAACAUUAACCCUUUCCUUGCACUGUAUAGCAGCAUCCCCAGCACGGUUUGUUCUGCC